rnacentral:lncRNA from 1 species
AAUAAAGGCAUUGUGUCCAUCUACAACUAAAAAAUAUUUUAAAAAUUAGUGAUUUCAAUGCAUUGUUUUGCUGAAAUUCUCAUUCAUUUAAAAGCAAGAUUUCUGACGAUUUCACACCUUGCCUUACUGACAGUUAUUUCUCUGAACAGACAGAGGAAGUAACAGGAGGAAGUAUUACUUUAGUCUUAAUACUGACAAAUAUGGUGGAACUCUGAAGUGGCAGGAACCUUGGGGAAAGUAACCAUGUCUAAGAGUUCAUGCCAGUCAAGGAAGAAACACUGGGUAAGGUGGUCUGCCUCAAUUUUAAGGAAAAAAGUUAAGAAGCUGAAAGAAUAUGCAAAUAUAUUGUUAGGUCUUAACCUUGUAUUCUGAAAGGGAAAAUGGUUUGAGGGUAGGCUCUUGAAAACUACUAUUUGUUGAAUAAAUAUUUAUCAAUUACCUACUGUAGGGAUAAGUGUGACCAUGUAAGAUAUGAUUCUUAACCUUAUUUGAUCUUUUAUAUGGACCAUAUUUUUGUGUACUAAGCAAUUAGCACCUAGUGGUACUGAAAAAAAAAUUAUUGAAAGCAUAGUUGAUUCCCAUUGAAGUUUACCUCUCUUUUUAUUUUAUUUUACUUUUUAUUUUUAUUUUUUUGGUGCCAGGGAUUGAACCCAGGGAUGCUUAACCACUGAUCCACAUCACAGCCCUUUUUAAUUUAUUUAGAGAAAGUGUAUUGCUGAGUUGCUUAGAGCCUUGCUCAGUUGCUAAGGCUGGCUUUGAAAUUGUAAUUCUCAAGCCUCCAGAGCCAUUGGGAUUACAGGCAUGUGCCACUAUGCCCAGAUUUCACCUUUCUUUUUACAUUAUAAAUUCUAUGAGGUUUGGAAACACAUCUAUAAUAUUUAUAGAUGUAUCUCCAAUGCCUAGAACUGCAGUGUUCGAUAUGAUAGCCACAUGUGAUUACUGAGCAUUUGAAAUGUGGAAGUUUGAAGUGAGAUGUACUCUAAACAUAAAAUGCAUACUGAAUUCAAAAGACUUAUUAUGAAAACAAAGUUUGCAAAGUAUCUCAAUAGGUUUUUUUUUUCUACUGAGUACAUAUUGCUAUGGUUUGAAUGUCCUCUUCAAAACACAUGUUGAGGUUUUAUAUCCAAUAUAGUGAUAUUGAGAGGUAGGGCCUUUAAGAGGUGAUUAGGUCAUAAGGGCUCUGUUUUUGUGAAUGGAUUAAUGCCAUUGUUGUUGGAGAUGGUUAAUUAUCAGGGGAGUGGGCUCCUGAUCAAAGGAUAAGUUCUACCCUAUACCUUUUCUCUGUGUCCCAAAUUUCUUGUUUGCCCUGUUAUAACAGCACAAAGGCAACUUGCCAGAUGCUGGUGCCAUCAUGCUACAGUUUGGACCCGCAGGGUGGUGUAUUGGGAGGUGGUAGAACUUUUAAGAGGUGGACCUGAUAGGAGGUCCUUAGGACAUUGGGGUAGUGUACUUGAAGGGAUUCUGGGACCCUGACUCAUUAUUCUCUCUUUCUUUUGCUUCCUGGCCAUAAGGUUAGUGUUUUUUCUUCUUGAUGUGCUCCUGUCAUGUUGUACUGCCUCACCGUAGGCCCAAAAGUAGUGGGGCCAAUUGAUCAUGGACUGGAAUCUCCAAAACUGUGAGCUAAAACAAAUCUUUUCUCUUUGUAAGUUAAUUAUCUGAGAUACUUUGUUAGUGAUGGAAAGUUGACUAACACACAUACUCUUGAACUUCAUUGUAUCUCAAACCAUGAGUAGAAUAAAGUUCUAUUUUUGUAAUUUACCCAGGAUUCUACUACAGUAGAAAAAAAAAACCCAAAACAACCAAUCAACCAACCAAACUCACAAACAAAAACCAGACUAAGACAUGGUACAAUGACAAUAUGUUGGAUUGUUUGGUCAAUAUAUCAUUAAAAUUAUCUUUCCCUUGCUUUGAAUGUUGUUGUUUGAAAAUUUUAAAUUACAUAUUUGACUCACAUUUUGUUUCUAUUGGACAGUGCUAGUCUAGAACAAUGCAUUCCAUAAUCAAAUGUGUUUCCAUGAAUGAGGGAGUAAAGAGAAAAGAUAGUCAUACAAAUUGAUGUCAUUAUACUGGGAACUCUGGUGGAUUCAUAUUUUAAGGAUAGUUAGGACAGUAGAAGGAAGAGUAUCUAAUAAAAGGUAGAAUUAAAAGGACAAUUUUGGGAAGAUUAAGCAUCAAGAUAAACUUUAGACUCCAGAAACACUGAUGACUCAAAAAAUGCUCCUUUUUGUAUGUUCAGAGCAAGAAAAACAAGAAGAGGAUAUCCCUACUUUUUGGAAUAGGUGAGAUAUUAUUAACAAUACAAUUGCAAAAAAGAGGCUCAUUCAACUUUUGUUUUGCUUACAUACUCUUAGACUUGACACCAGAUCUAUGUGUUGUACAUAACAGGAAAAAUGGAUGAGUUGGACCAUAUCAGAACUAAAUCUUUUGCUCAGCAAAAGUCUAUGUAAAGAGGAUGAAAAGACAAGGUAUAGAUUGUGAGAAAAUAUUUAUAAAAUCCAUUUCUGACAUAGAACUAGUGUCUAAAUUUUAUUAAAAUCUCUAAAAAUUCAACAUUAAGAAAAUAAUCCAUUGAAAAAUGGAAAAAUAGAUGAACAGACAUUUCACUGAAGAGGAUAUCCAAAUGGUGAAUAAAGCUCAUGAAAAGAUGUUUAACAUCCUCAACCAUCAGGUAAAUACAGUCAGGGUCUCGCUGAGUUGCUUAGGACCUCACAAAGUUCCUGAGGCUGGCUUUGAACUUAUGAUCCUCCUGCCUCAGCUUCCUGAGCAGCUGAGAUUACAGGUGUGUGUCACAGUGCCUGGCUUCUACUUAUUUUUCAGGGAGUAUGAAUUAACGCUAUGUGUUUAUGAGUCUCAGAGGACUUCAUUCUUUACAAACACCAUAGCAUUCAUUUCUCUGUUUAUAAAAGUAAUGUUUUCUUUUUUUUUUUUAAAUGGUAUCUUUUUUUUUUUAAUAUUUAUUUUUUAGUUUUUUUUUGGCGGACACAACAUCUUUGUUUGUAUGUGGUGCUGAGGAUCGAACCCGGGCCGCACGCAUGCCAGGCGAGUGUGCUACCGCUUGAGCCACAUCCCCAGCCCCAGUAAUGUUUUCUUAUGAUACACAAUAUAGACAACACAGAAAGACAUAAAGAAUAAAAAUCAAGGGGGGAAAGGAAGGACAGCAGAAUUAAAAAAAAAAAGAAUAAAAAUCAGCCACAAUACUACUACCCAGAGAUUAGUACUGAUAGUAUUUUUAAAUUUCUUAUUAGAGAAUAAUUUGCAUAUAAUAAAUUUCAGUAAAUUUUUAUAUAUGAAUGCACUUGUGCAAUCAUCACCCAGAUCAAAAUAUAGAAUAUUGUCAUCGACCCAUAUGUGACCUCAUGUACCUCCAGUCUAUACCAUCCACCAGAGGCAAAUUCUAUUCUAAUUUCCAUCACUGUAGAUUAAUUUUACCAAUUUUUAAAACUGAUAUACAUGAAAUUAUAUGAUAUUCACUCUUUUAUAUGUAUGUCUUCUUUUGUUCAAAAUUAUAUUUUUAAGAUUGAUCUAUGUUAUUUGUAUCAGUAAUUCAUUACUAUUAACAUUCCGAUAUAAAUUUCAGAAGGUUUUCCACACAUACUCAGACACAACUAUAAACGUAAGAUCAGUCUGUGUGAUAACAUUUUUCUCCUUUUCAUGUCAAUAUAUAUAUCUAAAAUUGUUUUGUUCUGAUUACAAAAGUAAUAUAUGUUUACUAUAUAUACUUACUAUAUAUAUAUAUAUAUAUAUAUAUAUAUAUUUAUUAUAUAUAUAUAUAUAUAUAUAUAUAUACUUACUUACUGAAGUAUAUAAUUUACAAAGAGACUGUCUCCCAUAUUUUCCGUAAUUUCAGCUACUCAAAAUAAAUAAAUAAAUAAACAGACAAAUAAAUAAAUAAAUAAAUAAGCAUUUAGAAGGCUAUGGUACUUCUUUUGUGGCAGUUUAAGGGAUGAAAUUUAGGGCUCAUACAUAUUUGGAAGGCACUGUAUCACUGAACAACACCCCGGCCCCAUGGAAAUUUUGACUACUUUAUUCAUGAACUUAAUACUCAUUUAUUGAAUGCAUUCUAUGUGCUAUACAUUUUUCUUGACACUGAGGUUAUAGCAAUGAACCAAAGAAAGUCUUUGCCAUCAUAAAACUUACUUUAUAGUGGGAACUACUAACAAAUACACAAUUAAAUAUCUGAUGUAAUAUUAAGUAAUACUUGAUAAUAAGAGAGGUAAGGAUAUUAAAAGAGUGAUAGGAUACUCAAUAGUAUUUUUUUAGAAGAAAUUAUAUUUUAUUGUCAGAGAGAAAAUGAAGGCAAAAGUCUUGAAAUUGGAAUGUGUUUGGUGUGCAAGGAGACAUGGGAGGGGGCGGGGGAGAAGACAAAGCCAGGAGAAAAGUAGUAGAAAGUGAGGUUUGAAUGUAGGUAGGGUGUGUAGAGCCUAAUAGUUUGGGAUAAGUCCUAUGGGUCUUAUUCCAAAUAUGAUGAAAGCCAUUGGAGUAGUGGAAGCAGGUGAAAGAGAUGAUCUCAUUUUUGUUUUAAAAGAAUUAUUCUGCUCCUGUGUAGUAAAUAGACUGUAUAGGGGCAAGAAUAGAAGUGUGAACCUCAGAGUGAUGAGCUGUUAGCAAUGAUCCAGGUGAGAGGCAAAGUGGCUUAGACCAGGGUGAUAGCAGUGGAAGGGAUGAGACAAGGAUGGGUCCUGGACUUGUUUAUUGGUGACAGGACCAUUGGUUACCUGGGUGUGAGGUGUAAGAGAAAGAAAAGGAGUCAAGCAUGACUAGAAGAUAUUUAUGCUUGGUGAUUUCAGUAUUCAUAUAGAUGACCCAUCCAACUCCCUCCCAUCUCAAUUCCUUUAGGCUUGAUGUGUGUGUGUGUGUGGUGGGGUGGGAGGUCACAUACUCAAGCUGAGUCACAUUGAGUUUGAGGUUAGAUCAUUCAAGUGAAUAUGGUGAGUAGGCAGUUGAAAUAUGAGUCUAGACUUCAAAAUAGAUGUCAGGGCUGGCAAGUUACAGCCACAAAACUGGAUGAAAUCACCCAGGGAGUGAGUAUUGAUAGAAAAGAGAAGAUACCCAAGGCCUGAGGCCUGGAUCAUUCCAAUGUUUAACAAUCUGGAAGAAGGAGGAGGAAUAAGCAAAAGAGAUGAACAGAAACUAGUGAGAUAAGAGGAAAACAGUAGAGAGUCAUGGAAGCCAAACGAGGAAUCUGUUUCAGCAGAGCCACUGUAAGGCCAUGCUACUCCUUUGUGAAAACAUAACAAAGCAAACAAAAGCCCUCUCUUCCUUAAGUAAAAAUAAAUUAAAUUACUAUUGUAUUUACUUUCCAGUAAGAAGAAAUACAAAAACCAUAAAGUCAUUCUGUGUAGAUUAUACAAAUCAAAUAUUGAGCACAAAAGUAUAGACAAUUUGCAAAUUUGGUCACAGCAAUUAAGAACUCAAAGCCACCAGAGUAUAAUAAUUUAUUAUAAAAGAGUUUCAUAUCUUACUUUUUUUCAGAACAGACAUCUUUGUGGCAGUUUCAGUGCUUGCUUAUUGUAUUUCUAUAGGAUGGUGAUUGUGCUGGAGCCCAGCCCAGGAAGAUGGCACCUUCAGCAAUGCUGUAUCCCCUCUUGUGGCUGCUGGUCCCGCUGAGGUUCCCAAGAGGCUCUUAGCAGUGUCAAAAUCCUACCUGAAGGAGCCACAGAAUGUCAAGUUCAUAUAACUAUCAUUUUGACUUUGAGGUGGGAAUGUAUCGGGAGAGUAGAACCCUGGGUCUCUGAUAACUAUGAAGCCACAUGCUAGGCUUGGACCACCAAACUCUGGCUGUGUUAUGCAUGAGAGUGAGAUAAAACAUCUUAUUCUUUAAAAUAAAGAACUUCUGUUCCUUAAAUGCACCAUAAAAUGAAAAAUGAGAGAGUAAGACUAUAUUUGCAAACAUGUAUCUGACAUAAGUUGAGAAUCCAUAAUGUAUAACAUUUAGCAAUUGGUAACAAAAAGAUGACUCAAUAAAAAAUGGGCAUAGAAAUGAGCAAGUGUUUUACAGAAGAGAAAUAUAUAUGGCAAAUAAACAUAUUAAAAUGCCCAACCUUAAUAUUGUAGUAAUAAUAGAAAUAGAAAUUUUAUAUCCACAAUAUAACAACAAUUUAAAAGUCUGAAAUACCAAGUAUUAGCUAUGAUAUGGUACAAUGGGAAAUUAUACCUUGCUUGUGGCAAUGUAAAUUCGUACAAUUUUUUUUCUUUUGUUGUUGGUGGCAUUGGUGUGAUAGCUAAGAAUUCAUUGUCUCAUCAUUUUGGAAAACAAUGAUUUGGAAAUCUGAAGUUAUGGAAAGAUGGUAGGAGUAACUGAGCAAGUAAGUUGGAAAUAUAGGUUGUCUAAUAAAUAUGAGGCUUGAAUUCAUGAUUCAAGAGGCAGAAAAUUUUGUGUGAUGACAAAGUACAAGGUGAAACCUUGCACAUGGUUUGCUAAAGUGGAAUUGUUCUUUGAAGAUAACAAGGUAUAUUAAUUUAGGUUCCAUCAGGAUAGAGAAACCCCACAGUAAUUUGAACAGAAAAAGUUUAACAUAAAAAAUUAAGGAUAAAAAAUAAAAAGGGCUAGCAAUGUGGCUCAGUGGUUGAGUGCCCCUGGGUUCAAUCCCCAGUACAACCACCACCAACAACAACAGAAAAAAAGAAGUAUAACAGGAUUGGAACAUUGAGGGACUGGCCUAGUAAAAAAAAAAGGAACUCUAAAAUAAUAUAGGAAUAGCAGAUGUAAUAUAGAAUAACAGACAAUAUAAAAAUAACAUGUAGGGGCUGGGGAUGGAGCUCAGUUGGUAGAGUGCUUGCCUCGUAUGCACAAGGCCCUGGGUUCAAUCCCCAGCAACACACACACACACACACACACACACAAAGACAAAUAACGUGUAAUAGCCAAUACUCGUAGAACUGUGAUAACCCUCCUCUCUGAUAUCUAGGCCAUAUAUUAGAGAAGUUGUUUGGUGCUGAGUCAGUGGAACUUGUUGGACAUCUGUCCUCUGGAACUAGCCAUAAAUAUGCUCCUCUAAGAUACUAGUUCGCAAGGAAGGUGUCUUAACAGAGACAAUUAGCUACAGAACUGCCCAAGGGCAGUGCCAAGGGAAGCAGUACAUUUGGUACAUUGUGUCCUGGGGAAGCUAGCGCUUCAGAAGGUGGGCAAAGUAAAAAUGUUUCAAAGUUCCAGGUCCAUUUUCACAGAGUAGACAUAAUGGUGCACCAAAAGGAAAGCUGGGAGCUCAGCAAGAGUAUGCGGAGGGAGCACACAGGAAACAGGAAGUAAAACCCCUCCUUACUGCAAUGUCUCUGCACCAUUGAUUACUGGUAAAACUUAAAACCAUACAAGCUGGCAAAUCAAAAUAUAUUUCAAAGUUCCAGGUCUAUUUUCACAGAACAGGCAUGAAGAUACACUGAAAGUUAACACAUUAAUUACUGGAAGAAGCAGUCAAAUAACUGAGUGCACAUGGUGUUGGAUUGUUGUUUUGGAGGAGUUGAAGUGAACUAGGUGUUGGCAGAAACUGGAGUACACUAGAAGGUCAGAAAUCAAUUUAUUUCUUCAAGUGUGACUGUGACGUUGGUCUAUCUACUGCAGAAUCAAGUGUGAUAUUAAUAAUACAUUUUCCUUUCCCCAUUGCACAUCUUCUGAGUUAGAAUAUAUUUGGGAAUUGGGCCCCCAAUCCUUCUUUUUAACAAGUGUGCCAUUAGAUUUGAAAUUUAAAAGUACAUCAAUUAUGACUAUUGCAAGUAGAUAAAAGUAAAGGAAAAAAGUAUAACAGGUCCCAGUGUACCAACUAUCCAGUUUUAACAAACCUUCACACUUGCCUUAUUUUCUGCAGAUAUUUUUAUUUUACAUAAAAACCUAUUUUAGUUCAAGUUCCACUUACUCAUUCCUUUCUCAUUUAUCACUCUUAGGAGGUGAUUAUUCUGAACUUCCCUGUUUGUCAAUCGCUGCUUUAGGCUAUGGAGAGCUUUUGAGGGUUUUGAGUAGGGAUGUUAACGCUAGAGGUGCUUUUGGAAAAUUGGUAAAAAUGUGCUCAGCUGGAGAACUCAUAAAAUGAGAAGGGGAGGUGGACAAGUACUCCAGAGGCAGGUUCAGUGUCCCAGAGGGUGUGGUCCUAGACUUUUGCCCUUUUUACUCAUGCUUAUGGAUGAAGUCUGCUCUUUGUGUUCCUGUGACCUCCAGUAUUCCCCUGCCAACCUUAUUCCCCUAGUUCAUCAGUUGCUUUAGCAAGCCAGCUCAAGUUCCACGAUUAGUCAUUUCACCAAGAUGCUUGCCACUGCCCUGAAAUUCCCUGCUUUUUUGACAUUAUACCAUACCAACUUUGACUCCAAUCUUUAUGUUAAUAGAGCUGUUUCUUUUGUCUUGAGGUGGUGACCUUGCUUUUCUGGUUCUACUUUAUUCCUUAUAUUAAUUUGCUAUAGCCAGCAUCCAAAAUGAGGCAGAUUUUCAUCCAGGUGACCUCAAUAAACUCAAGCCUAUUUUGGACUAGGCCAGGUUCCUGAAGUUACUCUUGCUUUGUUCUUCAUUAGAAAAUGAAAGUGAUACCUUAAUAAUACUGCCAAAUUUUGUUGUCUGUAGAGUAAAAUUUUGAUGAGCAAUUGUGAAAAUUGUCCAAAUGACAUAUAAAAGUGUUUAUAGAGGUCAGACCAGGGAAUUUAAUUUCUUAACAAAUGAAUUCUGUUUUUAUUUCCAUUACAUAGAUUUGGCCAUGGGUCAAAGGCAAUAAAACAUCUGACUAUAUUUAUUUUGCUUAUAUCAGCCAAAACAUAUGGGGGUCAAAUCCCUAUUAUAUGGAUAGACUAUGGAUAGACACAACAUGUAUGAAUCUCUAAAUGAUGAUGUUGAAUUAAGAAACCCUAUGAAGUAGAACCAACCUAGAUGCCCUUCAAUAGAUGAAUGGAUAAAAAAAAAGUAUGGCAUAUAUACACAAUGGAAUAUUACUCAGCAAUAAAAGAGAAUAAAAUCAUGGCAUUUGCAGGUAAAUUGGUGGAGCUAGAGAAGAUAAUGCUAAGUGAAUUUAGCCAAUCCCCCAAAACCAAAUGCUGAUUGUUUUGUUUGAUAUAAGGAGGCUGAUUCAUAGUGGGAUAGGGAGCGGGAGCAUUGGAGGAAUAGAUGAACUCUAGAUAGGGGAGAGGGGUUGGAGGGGAAGGGAGGGGGCAUGGGUAAUUAAUGAUGGUGGAAUGUGAUGAUCAUUACUAUCCAAAGUACAUGUAUGAAGACAGGAAUCGGUGUGAAUAUACUAUCUAUACAACCAGAGAUAUGAAAAAAUGUGUUCUAUAUAUGUAAUAAGAAGUGUUAUGCAUUCUGCUGUCAUAUAUAAAUAAAAAUGAUAUUAUUAAAAAACAAACCCCAUGAAAUGAAGUAGUGUGCUGUAUACUUCCAUUUAUACAAGAUACUUAAAAAUACAAACUAAUCUCUUUUUUUUUAACCAACUAAUUUAAAGAGACUGAAAACAUUGGUGUUUGGUUGCCUGAGAUGUCAGAGGAAGGAAGAGAAGAAGGUGUUAAAAGAGCACAAGGACACUUUUGGGGGUGAUGGAAAGUUUAUCUUGAUUUUGUGUGUGAUUAUAUCAAAAGUGUUGCAUAUGUCAAAAUUCAUUAAUUUGUAUGCCUUCAGUAUUGCAGUUUAUUAUGUAU